GCAAAUGAACAGACCUGGCUCACAGAUGGAUGUGAAACAAAUGAGACUGAUGACAGCAUCACGUGCCAGUGUUCUCAUCUAACAUUUUUUGCAAUACUGCUGUCACCUGCACCUCAGAACAUAAGCUCUUCAGAUUUUACAGCUCUUAGCUACAUCACAUCAGUCGGCUGUGGCCUGUCAAUGUUUUUCUUGGGAAUAGCUCUCUUCAUGUAUUGCAUUGUCAG